rnacentral:rRNA from 1 species
UACGUAGGCAGCAAGCGUUGUUCGGAGUUACUGGGCGUAAAGGGCGCGUAGGCGGCGUGGUAAGUCACUUGUGAAAUCUCUGAGCUUAACUCAGAACGGCCAAGUGAUACUGCUGUGCUAGAGUGCAGAAGGGGCAAUCGGAAUUCUUGGUGUAGCGGUGAAAUGCGUAGAUAUCAAGAGGAACACCUGAGGUGAAGACGGGUUGCUGGGCUGACACUGACGCUGAGGCGCGAAAGCCAGGGGAGCAAACGGG